GACGAACGCUGGCGGCGUGCUUAACACAUGCCAGUCGAACGGAAAGGCCCUGCUUUUGUGGGGUGCUCGAGUGGCGAACGGGUGAGUAACACGUGAGUAACCUGCCCUUGACUUUGGGAUAACUUCAGGAAACUGGGGCUAAUACCGGAUAGGAGCUCCUGCUGCAUGGUGGGGGUUGGAAAGUUUCGGCGGUUGGGGAUGGACUCGCGGCUUAUCAGCUUGUUGGUGGGGUAGUGGCUUACCAAGGCUUUGACGGGUAGCCGGCCUGAGAGGGUGACCGGCCACAUUGGGACUGAGAUACGGCCCAGACGCCUACGGGAGGCAGCAGUGGGGAAUAUUGCACAAUGGGCGGAAGCCUGAUGCAGCAACGCCGCGUGCGGGAUGACGGCCUUCGGGUUGUAAACCGCUUUCGCCUGUGACGAAGCGUGAGUGACGGUAAUGGGUAAAGGAGCACCGGCUAACUACGU
rnacentral:rRNA from 1 species